GCCAGGUGUGGUGGAGCACACCUGUAGUCCUAGUUACUCAGGAGGCUGAGGUAGGAGGAUCGCUUGAGCCCAGGAGGUCUGUUUGUGCCACUACACUCCAGCCUGGGCAACAGAACAAGACCCCAUCUCCC
rnacentral:sRNA from 1 species